UCAAAUUAGUCUCGAAAUGCACAAGUGUAUAGUGUGCGGCAAUAAAUCUAGGUACACAAAGGUCAAUCGUCCAGGAGUUAUUUAUCAUGAAUUUCCAAAGAAUGCAUACAUGAGAAGAAAAUGGUUUAAAGUUUUUGGGAUUGAUCGUUUCCAUGAUUGGCAACGUAAAUGUAGUGAUCAUUUUUUAGAAGAAAACUAUAAGCCAGGAAAAAAGUGAUUUUUAUUUUCAAAUGCUAUUCCCCAACCUUAUCAUCGAAAUGGUUUUCCUUCUAAUUGUGCUACUCAAGGUAAUGAUGUUGAAACUGGAAAUAAUGUAAUUUUACCUAUGGAACAAUAUUAUACAAGAGGAACAUAUUAUUGAAAAUGCUAUUGUAAAUAAUUUUAAAUCAAGACGGUCAUCUACACUUACUAGAAACAAUGAGCAUAAUAUGAGUAAUAAAAAUAUGGCGGUGAGUAAAUAACACCUAAUGCUUUGCCUAUGUCAAUUAAUGAGGUGCCUGUAUUGAGUACAUAUGAAGAUCAAUUCAUAAGCCCAAUAGAAAAUGAAGCUGCUGAACAGUCGUCGUCAGAAAAAAAACAAUUUAAAAGAUAAUACAGAUAAUACUUUCAUGACAAUUGACCUUGCAAUUGAUGAUUCAUCUAUAUUAAUUAUUGGCAACUUCAUUCCACAAUGUUAGAGUUAUCUGUAAUUAUAUAUAAAAUUAUAAUAUAUUAUUUAAUAAUGAAUCAAAAAAUGAAAUAAAAAACACCUUUUAAUUACUAUCGUCGAUUACUUAAUAUUAUUUGUUUUUCGUAUGUUUGGCCAUUUUUAGAAAAAACAUUGUUUAUUUGACCUAAAUCAUCUAUAUAACAGUGUUUAUAUCUGAAAGCGUAUAAUGAUUUUAUUUUUUCCAAAUUUUAGCUUUGAUAAUAUUUUCAUUCCAUAAAUUUAAUACAAUCUGCAAUUCAU